rnacentral:rRNA from 1 species
ACGGGGUGCACCAGGCGCGAAAACUUUGCAAUGUGCGCAAGCACGACAAGGUUAAUCCGAGUGUUUCCUGCUAAAGGAAUCUUUUGCUAGUCCUAAAAACACUAGCGAAUAAGGGGUGGGCAAGUUCUGGUGUCAGCCGCCGCGGUAAAACCAGCACCUCAAGUGGUCAGGAGGAUUAUUGGGCCUAAAGCAUCCAUAGCCUGCUCUGUAAGUUUCCGGUUAAAUCCAUUAGCUUAACUGAUGGGCCGCCGGAAAAACUGCAAAGCUAGGGAGUGGGAGAGGUAGACGGUACUCGGUAGGAAGGGGUAAAAUCCUUUGAUCUAUUGAUGACCACCUGUGGCGAAGGCGGUCUACCAGAACACGUUCGACGGUGAGGGAUGAAAGCUGGGGGAGCAAACCGGAUUAGAUACCCGGGUAGUCCCAGCUGUAAACGAUGCAGACUCGGUGAUGCCCUGGCUUGUGGCCAGUGCAGUGCCGCAGGGAAGCCGUUAAGUUUGCCGCCUGGGAAGUACGUACGCAAGUAUGAAACUUAAAGGAAUUGGCGGGGGAGCACCACAAGGGGUGAAGCCUGC